GCGGACUGGCGGCGUGCUAUACAUGCAAGUCGAGCGGACAGAUGGGAGCUUGCUCCCUGAUGUUAGCGGCGGACGGGUGAGUAACACGUGGGUAACCUGCCUGUAAGACUGGGAUAACUCCGGGAAACCGGGGCUAAUACCGGAUGGUUGUCUGAACCGCAUGGUUCAGACAUAAAAGGUGGCUUCGGCUACCACUUACAGAUGGACCCGCGGCGCAUUAGCUAGUUGGUGAGGUAACGGCUCACCAAGGCGACGAUGCGUAGCCGACCUGAGAGGGUGAUCGGCCACACUGGGACUGAGACACGGCCCAGACUCCUACGGGAGGCAGCAGUAGGGAAUCUUCCGCAAUGGACGAAAGUCUGACGGAGCAACGCCGCGUGAGUGAUGAAGGUUUUCGGAUCGUAAAGCUCUGUUGUUAGGGAAGAACAAGUGCCGUUCAAAUAGGGCGGCACCUUGACGGUACCUAACCAGAAAGCCACGGCUAACUACGUGCCAGCAGCCGCGGUAAUACGUAGGUGGCAAGCGUUGUCCGGAAUUAUUGGGCGUAAAGGGCUCGCAGGCGGUUUCUUAAGUCUGAUGUGAAAGCCCCCGGCUCAACCGGGGAGGGUCAUUGGAAACUGGGGAACUUGAGUGCAGAAGAGGAGAGUGGAAUUCCACGUGUAGCGGUGAAAUGCGUAGAGAUGUGGAGGAACACCAGUGGCGAAGGCGACUCUCUGGUCUGUAACUGACGCUGAGGAGCGAAAGCGUGGGGAGCG
rnacentral:rRNA from 1 species